rnacentral:lncRNA from 1 species
GUGCACUGGCCGCCCCGCGAUGCGUCUAAAUCUCUGCUCCUGUCGUCGCCGACGCUAGGCGUCCGUCGGGUCUGCACCUGUUGGCUGUUGGCGAACGACCGGCUCCCUGAAGAUGCUUCCAAAGCCGCUGCUUGGUGCUUCUGGCAGGAUCAUCAGCAGGAAGAAAAGACUUUCGGCCGCAAUGUUUAACCAGUGCUUAUGAAAAGACUGUUCCUCGUUCGUCAAUUUUUCCACGGUUUCCGAUUCUUGCUCAAGCUUCACUCUUCCAUUAGUUACUUAAGUGAAAAAUGUUGCACCAGUUCUCGGGAACGCGCUGCCCACGGGCAGGAUUUUUCUUGUGAACGGUGGGAACGGUGAUGAUCAACGGUCAUCAUGACGAUGUGGCAAAGUGGGAUGGGGGGCCACGGGGGGAAGAACAAUGCUUGGAUGAAGCUUAUGGGCAUCGUCCACAAGGAGCGUCGGCAUCAUGACUCCGGACCAGCUUCUACG